AGUUUGCUGAGCGCGUUAAGGAUUGUAGUGACAUCCUUUUUUGUUUUUCACAAAAAAGAUAUAAUGUAAAGCCUGACCUUUA
rfam:Polaribacter sp. MED152, complete genome.